rnacentral:lncRNA from 1 species
AAACCUCCUCCAAUCAUUUGUACACGCAAGGCACACGUGGAAGCCAACUCACCAAAACCCUAACAAUUACAGAGACGCCGGAGCUAAGCUCCGGUCGUCUUCUCCGGCCAUCUCCGGCGACAUUCAGACCAAUUUUUUUCCAGAAUCCAUCGAAGCAUACAUCAUUCGAAUCCUCUCACCAUGUACAUUCCAAAUAUCAUAUCCAUUGAUCCUAAUUCCUACCAGGUUUUCCAGAUCG